CUUGUACUCCCUCUGUCCUGAAAAGCUUGUCCCAAGCUUGUUCCUCAAAUGGAUGUAUCUAGCACUAACUUAGUGCUAGAUACAUUCAUUUGAGAAACAAGCUUUUCCAGACGGAGGGAGUACCUA
rfam:Triticum aestivum genome assembly, contig: Triticum_aestivum_CS42_TGACv1_scaffold_405707_5BL